rnacentral:lncRNA from 1 species
CGGGUUUUCAAAAAUAUUUUAACAUUAUUAUACACCGCUGGACUAUUGGUUUUGAAGAUUUUUGCAUAAAAACAAGCACGGGAAAAAUACGGAAGUGGUUUUCGAGGCGACCGAUUCAAACUCUGAUUUCAGCGAGAGUGUAGGCAAUAAGAUGCAAAUUAAGCGAAUCUGACGGGACACACACGGGACAUAUCACACUGGGACCAAAAUUACUUGUUAAUAGAAAAAUACAUGUUUGUGUAGAUUGAACCAUUUAUUUCGUAAUUCUUUAGAUAUUUGAGUUUGUUAGCUACUCUUUGUUAAAUAACUUUUAUCAAGAAUCCCCUUUCUUGUAGGAGAUAAUGUAAAAAUUAAAAUAGUAUUAAUUUAAAACAAAUUAGGAGGGACGUGUAAGACGCUUGUUUCGCAUCACAACUUUUAUAGAUAAACUAGACCCCAAGUUAAAGUUUUCUGAACACAUUUCUACCAUGGUAAAUAAGGCCAUGGGUGUGCUUUGGUUUAUAAAGAGGUGGUCAAAGGAAUUUGAUGACCCCUAUAUAACGAAGACUCUCUAUAUCUCGACUGUUCGUCCGAUUUUAGAAUACGGUUCAUGUGUAUGGUGCCCUCAGUACAACAUACAUACAUCAGGACCGUAUUGAAUCAAUUCAGAAAAACGUUUUACCCUGCGUGGCCUCAACUGGGAUGCAACUGUGAGACUGCCAUCCUACCGUAGUAUAAUCUUUCUAAUAAACCUUCCAUCCUUAGUUAAUCGUAGAAAAAGCUUGGUGUAGACAGCCCUGACUUGCUGAGUCGCAUAAACUUUACGAUUCCCAUUAGACCCACUAGAAACUUUAUUCCUUUGUUCCUUCCACUAUGUAGAUCGAAUUAUGCCUCACACGAACCGUUUAGGGUUUUAUGCUCGGAUUAUAAUUCCCUCUACCACAUUAUAUCCUCAACUAACUCCCUUCCUCUUCUUAAAUCUCGUAUACUAGCCUACCUCUCCCGUAGUUAGUUUCAUUUUAGUUUUGUCUUGUUUCUGAUUUUGGUAAUUUUUGCGUGGUUAGCUAUAGUUGCUCUAGUUUAGUUGUGUUUAGCUCUAAUUUUCCUCGAAUAUUAGCCUAACAUCUAUCAUUCCUGCAUGCUUGCGACCGGUUCGGUUAAUCGCGCCACGCGUCAUGCGGCAGGGCCCCUCGGUCGGUUGGGCGGGAUUAGGGCUGCGUUCUGCUGUGUUCCGCGCUUAACAGUCUUUGGCCUGGUGUCGCAUGGGCCACUUGAUGGUGCAGUCAUUGCAUAUCAACGUCCAGAGAAUAAUACCCGGUACUCCGUAGAAUAUCUGUACCUUGCACUAUGGGCAAAAUGACCGUGUUUGGCAUUAAUCAAAAAAAUAGAGCUAGAGCUCUACAAAUUGGCAUGAAUGUUCGUUAGACUAAAGUAGAGUUUCUGAAAAAAAAAUUUAGUCAUUUGGACCCCGCCUACCUCCUAACCUCAUACGAACUGGAACCCAUUUACGUCGAAUUUAUUAUAAACGAGAAGGGACGUGUGAGACGCAUCUUACGCGUCUCAACUUUUACACCCGGUACUGAGUCAAAG